GCUAGGUGUGGGGUCCUUCCCGGAUUCCGUGCCGUAGCUAACGCAUUAAGCGCCCCGCCUGGGGAGUACGGCCGCAAGGCUAAAACUCAAAGGAAUUGACGGGGGCCCGCACAAGCGGCGGAGCAUGCGGAUUAAUUCGAUGCAACGCGAAGAACCUUACCAAGGCUUGACAUACACCGGAAACUUCCAGAGAUGGGAGCCCCCUUUGUGGCUGGUGUACAGGUGGUGCAUGGUUGUCGUCAGCUCGUGUCGUGAGAUGUUGGGUUAAGUCCCGCAACGAGCGCAACCCUCGUUCUAUGUUGCCAGCGGUUCGGCCGGGGACUCAUAGGAGACUGCCGGGGUCAACUCGGAGGAAGGUGGGGAUGACGUCAAAUCAUCAUGCCCCUUACGUCUUGGGCUUCACGCAUGCUACAAUGGCCGGUACAAAGGGCUGCGAUCCCGUGAGGGGGAGCGAAUCCCAGAAAGCCGGUCUCAGUUCGGAUUGGGGUCUGCAACUCGACCCCAUGAAGUCGGAGUCGCUAGUAAUCGCAGAUCAGCAACGCUGCGGUGAAUACGUUCCCGGGCCUUGUACACACCGCCCGUCACGUCAUGAAAGUCGGUAACACCCGAAGCCGGUGGCCUAACCCCUUGUGGGAGGGAGCCGUCGAAGUGGGGCUG
rnacentral:rRNA from 1 species